rnacentral:rRNA from 1 species
UACGUAGGGUGCAAGCGUUGUCCGGAAUUAUUGGGCGUAAAGAGCUCGUAGGCGGUCUGUCGCGUCGGCUGUGAAAUCCCGGAGCUCAACUCCGGGUCUGCAGUCGAUACGGGCAAACUGGAGUACUGCAGGGGAGACUGGAAUUCCUGGUGUAGCGGUGAAAUGCGCAGAUAUCAGGAGGAACACCGGUGGCGAAGGCGGCCUUCUGGACCAAUACUGACGCUCAUGCACGAAAGCGUGGGGAGCAAACAGG